rnacentral:rRNA from 1 species
AUUGAACGCUGGCGGCAGGCCUAACACAUGCAAGUCGAGCGGAUGAAGGGAGCUUGCUCCUGGAUUCGGCGGCGGACGGGUGAGUAAUGCCUAGGAAUCUGCCUGGUAGUGGGGGAUAACGUCCGGAAACGGGCGCUAAUACCGCAUACGUCCUGAGGGAGAAAGUGGGGGAUCUUCGGACCUCACGCUAUCAGAUGAGCCUAGGUCGGAUUAGCUAGUUGGUGGGGUAAAGGCCUACCAAGGCGACGAUCCGUAACUGGUCUGAGAGGAAGAUCAGUCACACUGGAACUGAGACACGGUCCAGACUCCUACGGGAGGCAGCAGUGGGGAAUAUUGGACAAUGGGCGAAAGCCUGAUCCAGCCAUGCCGCGUGUGUGAAGAAGGUCUUCGGAUUGUAAAGCACUUUAAGUUGGGAGGAAGGGCAGUAAGUUAAUACCUUGCUGUUUUGACGUUACCAACAGAAUAAGCACCGGCUAACUUCGUG